UCUCAACUUCACGCCGUCAUGCUCCUCGCCUCGUAAAUGGCGUCCCGGGCGUCUUCGCCUCCGUCGCCGCCGUCCGCCGCCACAACUACCGGAUCUGAUUCGUCGGGAUCCUCUCUGCUGGGACGUUCUUCGCGGUCUACGGGGCCGGUUUCGCUCAACCUGGCGACGUUCAUGAGGAAUGUCAUGUUCUAUUUGAUUUCAGUUCUUGUUCUAUCGGACCGGGUAAUAUCGGGAAGAAAAACAAAGGUGAGCUUCCUGCUUCCGGUAUAAUUAUAGCUUUCUAUUUUUUAACUAUACUCUUCAUUGAUUGUUUGUAUUUUGUACAGUGUUUUAUCGAACCAAUCUGAGGCCGCCUCAUAUAGAUUUUUGAAAUUGCAUGAUAAGCUUACUGAUGCUUUUCCAAAACAGUCUGUGAGAAAGUAGUUGGCAGUAGCUAUGAGUAUUGGGCCAUUGGCUUUAACAUUUUCGGUCUACUCAAUGGUAUUACUAAUUAGUAUAUCCAAGUGUGUAACAUAGACCAGAUGUCCUCAUGAGUGCUUAGUUUGAAGGAGAAGCUCAAGCAUAGUGUUAGGAAGAUUCUGAGUAUGUUUAUAUGCAGUCAUUAAGCUGAUCCUCUUUCUUCUCUGAGAGCGGUGGAGUUUUCUAAUCCAUCAGUCUUUGCCAUGGUACAUUUACUUGAUUUCCACAGCCUUGUUUGCAGGGCACGUGGCUGUGGUCAUUGAUGAUAAUGUGAGGUUGGGUCAUGAGGCAUGUAGUGGUCUCAAAGAAAUCUCAAAUCUUGUUGAGCAAUGAUCUGUGUUGGAAAUGGAGGGACUAUGGAAUAAAAUGAAGCUUUUUGAUGUAGAACAAUGCACUUUCAGUGUUUUGGCUGGCACCGCAACUGAGGCAUGAUGCAGAAGCUAUUUGAGCUGCGUCUGGUGAAUCCUAGGUAGGUAGAUGCAAUGAAGCUAUCAUUCAAAUUACUUCUCCGUCAAGAGAACUUGGUAUCAUAGUGGAGCCUCUACAAAAUCUUUAAAAAUAAACUUUCAGCGCGGCAGAUGUGUCUUCAGUAAUGAGUUCAAAGUGCAAGAGCGAGUAGACAAUAUUCCAAGAUUUGGGGAAGUGAUCAGGAGCAGAAUACUUUGGGUUAAUAUAUUCUUAUUUUGUCGGUUCAACUUUACUAUCUAUUAAAUGCUAGAAAUGAAUUUUCUUGCUAUAGAUUAGAGAAUCAAGAACGACAAAAGUAAAAAGUCUUCAUAAAGUUGUUGUAAAAAGAUUAAAUUUCUCGCUUAAUUAAAUAUGCGACGACUUCGGAUUGUCGCACCCAG